rnacentral:rRNA from 1 species
AUUGAACGCUGGCGGCAUGCCUUACACAUGCAAGUCGAACGGCAGCACGGGAGCAAUCCUGGUGGCGAGUGGCGAACGGGUGAGUAAUAUAUCGGAACGUGCCCAAUCGUGGGGGAUAACGUAGCGAAAGCUACGCUAAUACCGCAUACGAUCUAUGGAUGAAAGCGGGGGAUCGCAAGACCUCGCGCGAUUGGAGCGGCCGAUAUCAGAUUAGGUAGUUGGUGGGGUAAAAGCCUACCAAGCCUUCGAUCUGUAGCUGGUCUGAGAGGACGACCAGCCACACUGGAACUGAGACACGGUCCAGACUCCUACGGGAGGCAGCAGUGGGGAAUUUUGGACAAUGGGCGCAAGCCUGAUCCAGCAAUGCCGCGUGCAGGAUGAAGGCCUUCGGUUGUAAACUGCUUUGUACGGAACGAAACGGUCUUCUAAUAAAGAGGGCUAAUGACGGUACCGUAAGAAUAAGCACCGGCUAACUACGUGCCAGCAGCCG